AUGGCCAUGUCACAUUAUAAAACACUGGUUCUCAUAUGAUCACUGAAGUUAAGCAAAAUUGAUCCUGGUCAGUACCUAGAUGGGUGACCACAUGGUAAUACCAGGUGCUGUAAU